UACGAAGGGGGCUAGCGUUGUUCGGAAUCACUGGGCGUAAAGCGCACGUAGGCGGAUCGUUAAGUCGAGGGUGAAAUCCCAGGGCUCAACCCUGGAACUGCCUUCGAUACUGGCGAUCUUCGAGUCCGGGAGAGGUGAGUGGAACUCCGAGUGUAGAGGUGAAAUUCGUAGAUAUUCGGAAGAACACCAGUGGCGAAGGCGGCUCACUGGCCCGGUACUGACGCUGAGGUGCGAAAAGCGUGGGGAGCAAACAGG
rnacentral:rRNA from 1 species